CUAGAGAAGAUUAGCAUGGUCCCUGUGCAAGAAUGACAUGCAAAUUCAUGAAGCAUUCCAUGUUUCA
rnacentral:snRNA from 1 species